rnacentral:rRNA from 1 species
UACAGAGGUCCCGAGCGUUGUUCGGAUUCACUGGGCGUAAAGGGUGCGCAGGUGGGUUGGCAAGUUUGAUGUGAAAGCCCCGGGCUUAACCCGGGAAAGGCAUUGAAUACUGCUGAUCUGGAGGAUCGGAGGGGGGACUGGAAUUCUUGGUGUAGCGAGUGAAAUGCGUAGAAUAUCAAGAGGAACACCAGUGGCGAAGGCGAGUCCCUGGACAACUUCUGACGCUGAGGAACGAAAGCCAGGGG